CAAUAGCGUAUAUUAAAGUUGUUGCGGUUAAAAGCUCGUAGUUGGAUUUCUGCUGAGGACGACCGGUCCGCCCUCUGGGUGAGUAUCUGGCUUGGCCUUGGCAUCUUCUUGGAGAACGUAGCUGCACUUGACUGUGUGGUGCGGUAUCCAGGACUUUUACUUUGAGGAAAUUAGAGUGUUUCAAGCAGGCACACGCCUUGAAUACAUUAGCAUGGAAUAAUAAGAUAGGACCUUGGUUCUAUUUUGUUGGUUUCUAGAGCUGAGGUAAAUGGAUUAAUAGGGGAUAGUUGGGGGCAUUAGUAUUUAAUUGUCAGAGGUGAAAUUCUUGGAUUUAUGAAAGACUAACUACUGCGAAAGCAUUUGCCAAGGAUAGUUUUCAUUAAUACAAGAACGAAAGUUAAGGGGAGUCGAAGACGAUCAGAU
rnacentral:rRNA from 1 species